AUCAAUGAUGAAAAUAGCCAAAUCUGAGCA
rnacentral:piRNA from 3 species